UCCUCGCAGCCUUGAUGGAAACCAGGCAUCACUUCUGCUCUCCCCAGCAGAGAGGGCAGCACAGAGGACUGGGGAAAAAAUGUGAAUGUGGAUUUAAUGGUUUUGUGUCUUAGAGAUGUGGUUGAGCAGGAGGAGUGUGUGGGGGAGAGCCUCAGGGUGCUUUUUUUUUUUUUCUCUCGUUAAUUUAUUUAUUUUUCCUCUACCCAGUAAGGGAUAACUGCACAGUUCCACCAGCACUCAGUCUCUGCCAGGAGCUGGAGUCGAUUUCCCACCUCUUACCCUUGCAGGCAGUGCUGUUUUCUCCUUCUUUCAGGGUGGUCAGGAUCUGAAUUCCUCAUGCAAAAGAAGAAGCAGGGGAAGAGGAAACUGCAAGCAAGGACCUUCCCUACCUCAGGGAUCUGUCACAAGGACUCAGCAGGCCUCCAAGCGUGGUUUCUUGCUCUGCAGUCUCUCAGCUCAAGCCUCCUGGCUUUGGAGUGAUCAGGAGAGGCAGAGCUCAUCCAGCAUCACAGAGCUGUGGGGAUGGCACCGGGUCCUGCUGAGCACAGUCCCACAGUCCCUGCCCUGAGC